GACGAACGCUGGCGGCGUGCUUAACACAUGCAAGUCGAACGGACAGGCCAUGCUUUUGUGGGGUGCUUGUGUGGCGAACGGGUGAGUAACACGUGAGUAACCUGCACUUGACUUUGGGAUAAAUUCUGGAGAAUGGGUAUCAUACCGGAUAUGAUAUUCUGCUGCAUGGGGGUGGAUAGUAAAAUUCGGCGGUGGGGGAUGGACUCGCGGCUUAUCAGCUUGUUGGUGGGGUUGUGGCUUACCAGGGCUAUGACGGGUAGCCGGCCUGGGAGGGUGACCGGCGACAUGGGGACUGAGAGACGGCCCAGACUCCUACGGGAGGCAGCAGUGGGGAAUAUUGCAGAAUGGGCGGAAGCCUGAUGCAGCAACGCCGCGUGCGGGAUGACGGCCUUCGGGUUGUAAACCGCUUUCGCCUGUGACGAAGCGUGAGUGACGGUAAUGGGUAAGGAAGCACCGGCUAACUACGUG
rnacentral:rRNA from 1 species